CGUCUAUAUACGUAUAGCAUAUCAAUAAGCGGAGGAAAAGAAACUAACAAGGAUUCCCUAGUAACGGCGAGUGAAGCGGGAAGAGCUCAAAUUUGAAAUCUUAAAGGUUUUCCCUUGACGAAUUGUAGUUUAAAGAAGUGUUUUCUGUUGGAGUUUUGGUAAAAGUUCUUUGGAAUAGGACAUCAUAGAGGGUGAGAAUCCCGUAUUUGACCAUUAUUUCCAACUUUGUGAUACACUUUCAAAGAGUCGGAUUGUUUGGGAAUGCAGUCCAAAAUGGGUGGUAAAUUUCAUCUAAAGCUAAAUAUUGGCGAGAGACCGAUAGCGAACAAGUACCGUGAGGGAAAGAUGAAAAGAACUUUGAAAAGAGAGUUAAACAGUACGUGAAGUUGUCAAAAGGGAAGCGUUUGACACCAGUGUUGUUUUCUCGAAAAUCAAUUCAAAUGACUGGCUUGAUGCUAGGUUGUUAUGACUUUAUCAGCUUACUGUCUACUUUUUUCUUGUCUUUGUUAAUGCACUUUUCGUUUAACAAGUCAACAUCAAUUUCUUUUGCUGUAAAAGAGUAAUAGGAAGGUGGCUUCAUCUUCGGUAGAAAGUGUUUAUAGCCUUUGACCUCUGCAAUCGGAGAGAUUGAGGUCUGCAGCGUAGACUCUUCGGGGUUAGAUACAGUUUGUGCUAAGUUAUAGCUUUUCAUAGACAACUUGUUGACUAUGUUUAGUCUUGUAGCUUACUCGCUUAUGCUAUUUUACCUACGCUUAGGAUGUUGACACACGCGCGUGCUCG
rnacentral:rRNA from 1 species